CAUACAAUAAUAGAAGGGUAGAAAAUUUAAAGAACUUUUUUCAGUCAAUGCAUUACCAGAUGAUGCAACUUUCUCAGCAUCUGUCACAGGUGGUACACCUUGUUAAGCAUGCAAAUGAAAUCAUAAACCCAUUAGUGCCUGGAGGAAUUUAAGUCAAUUAUUCCUAGUCAGGAAAUUUUUAAUUGGCUUGAAAGCCAGAGUGAAGCAAGAUUCCCCCCUCCCCCCAACAAAAAAAAGCCAGCAAUCCAUGCCUGAUCAGCCACAAUUCCAUUAGCUUGUCUUGCCAGAAUAGCUCUGGAUUUUAGAGUUCGUUCUGAAGCNNN
rnacentral:lncRNA from 1 species